GAGAUAAGGGAGUCUGGUGAAGCAAGUGCUGGCUCUCAAAGCUUCUGACCAGAAGUAUUGUCAACUGAUUAGAAGCUCCUACUCCAUUGGUCAAAGAAAGACACAUGACCACAGGAAAGGAAUCUUUGAUAGCUGACCAUAUUAAUGAAAAUAUCCCGACAGGCUCUUUGAUGUGGCUGUGAAGGGACCAAGAAAAAAUUUAAAAGCUGGUGAGUGCUGAAGGAUGACUAGGAAAUCUCUGGAGAAAAGAGCUGAGAAAAUAAACUGCAGUUGAAGAUAAAUAGUGCUCCACUUACGAUUAGAUUUCCUUCACCAGAUUACACACAGUUGGUUUGGUGUUCCCUAAAUAAAGAUGAAACGCAUCGCCAGUGUGCAAGUCUCUGCCUGGAGGUUAGAAGUCACAGUUUCUAGGAAAAUUCCACUGAUUCCCCAAGUCUGCAUUAGCGGCCUAUUUGAUGCUAUCUGAAGACAUCCUGUGUGUGUUAUUGCAUAACGCUUACUUUACCCUGUGGUUAUUGACUGGCAAUUGCUGUGUCUUUCUUCUAAACCCCAAGAGGCCAGAAACCAUGACUGAUUAAUUCACUGUUCUAUAUAGAGUUUAGCCUGGUGCCUGGCACAAAAUGUGUGUUUAAUAAGUUUGUUAAAUCAAAUUAAUUCAUUGGAGGUGUUAAAAACUUUAAAGACAUCAUCUUAGCCUUUAAUAACAGAGUACUAAACAAAAAGAUGCCAAUAAUACUUUAGUAAUUGUAGGAGCUAUAUAUCCCAGUGUGCUUGUAAGAUGGAAUAAAUAGGCCGAGCUCCAGAGAAGGGGACUGACUUGUCCACAGCUACGCAGCCACUGAGCAGGUCCCAAGGAGUCAGUCUGUUUCUUCAGCUCUCACUAUCUACUCUAUGCAUUGGGAUUCUUCUCAAGUCUUGACUUCAAAAUAGAAGAUACUCUACAACUCUUUUUAUUUUUCUACAGCUUCCUUAGCAGCUAAGAGUCUCAAAAACAAAAAAACCCAAACUAAACAAAACAGCAGUCUCCAACAUUUUCCAUUGUCUCCUCUACCGCCUGGAGUCAUGCUUCAACACUCCUCUUCCCAGAUACUCAGACUUCAUGAAUCUGUGUUAAUACAUUUAAUUAAAAUAUCAUAAUUUC